AUGUCUAGGACUCAGCCCAUGGGAGAGGUGGACAGGAGAGGAGAGGAGGCUGCUGGCUAUCUCUCGGGGAAGGAGAACAGAUGCUGCCGUGCUGCCCGGGACCUUCAUCCCACAGCCUGGGAGGUCAACCAUGGUCGUCCAGCUCUAGGGAAAUACCUGCUGUGGCCUGAGACGUGGCAUCCAGUGACGGGCAUUUGUAGGGCGAAGCUCAUGUUCCCAUUAGGCCAGCCUCAGGCUCAAGUUCCACAAGAUUGCCUCCUCCACCCCAGCUUUGAAGGUGGGGCAAGACAGGCUUCGGAUGCCCCAGGCUCCAUCUGCACUAAAAAGAAAGAAAGAAAGGAAAGAAAAAAAAGAAAAGAAAAGAAAAAAGAAAAAAGAAAAAACCUGCUGUCCCCGUCUCCCAGCACUACUGCCCCUGUCCAGGGACCAAAGAUGGGACGAAUCACCUCCCAGGUAAGAGGGUACCAUUUACAGGGAGGUUGGGUGCAAAGCCGUGGGGCUUCUGUGGUGGAAUUUCCAGCAGUAGGACCACGGAUGGGGCAUUUCAAUCGCUGUGCUAUGUAA
rnacentral:lncRNA from 12 species